GAAGCACCAGCGAGAGGAGAAGAAUUCAAAUUCAUUUUCCACAUACCUCUGCCAAAGGAAUCUAUCUGAAUCACGAAUGUGGCCGUCCUAACCUAGUUUGCCACCUCAUGGAAGUAAGAAAGCAAAAGAACAAGAUUCACACUUAACAGCUGGUUUUAGAUGUGGAUGUUAACAUUACCGAGACCAAGGAGAACAGUUCAAUUUGCUGUAAUAAAGCAGCUCACAGUGCUUCUCUGGAAAGGAUAAUAACUUGGCCAAGUUCACCCAGUAAGAAGGAAGGGGA